rnacentral:ncRNA from 12 species
GUUAUUCGAGGUGGAAGAUUUCGUCCACGUCCACACGCCGAUGGUACUGACAGGGGAAUCCCGAGAGAUGCAGGAGAAUGGGACGCCUGCCGAAUAAC